AAGUCGUAACAAGGUCUCCGUAGGUGAACCUGCGGAGGGAUCAUUACCGAGUUCAUGCCCUCACGGGUAGAUCUCCCACCCUAUGUUAAUCAUUACCUUUGUUGCUUUGGCGGGCCGCCAGGUUUCGGCCCAGGCUACCGGCUAAGGCUGGUAAGCGCCCGCCAGAGGACCCCAAACUCUGAAUGUUAGUGUCGUCUGAGUACUAUCUAAUAGUUAAAA
rnacentral:misc_RNA from 1 species